rnacentral:lncRNA from 1 species
ACAUAAUCACCACCUAAUAAUUAGCUGUUAAACAUACAAGUUUAACACCCAUGUUCUCCCCAGCAAUUACUGAAGUCUCCAAGUUCUUUUGAAGCACAUAGGAUUAGUGGAAUUCUUACUUCUUUUUUAAUGAAGACGCAUAGUUUAGUGGAAUUCAAAUUUGUUAAUUCUGUUUUUUUAAAAUAAUCUUAACAUGUUAAUUCUGUUUGAUGCUAAAAAUUGCUGAAUGUUGUUGACAAAAAUCACACAACUUCUUUUGAGCGAGGAAAACACAAGUUUGCUUACAGCAAGUGAAAAUGUGCAAGGCACAAGCCAUCAUAUCUUCAGCAGACUAUGGGGCGGACAUAUGUGAACUCAUGGGUUGGCUACUUAUAAAUAUUAAUAUAACCCUCUAAGUAUCUCUUUGUUGUGGCCUACGAGUCCAUACAGACAAAUAAUUUCCUUUGUAUGGACUAGCAUGCAGUACGAACUUGCAACUCAAUUUAGUUCAACAACUUCAUUAAAAAAAUGAAUUUUAACUUAGUUCAACAAAGGAAUCUAGGAUGCUCGAGA